UUCGCGGUAACGGGAAACAAAGGUCAAACUUUUUUUUUUAUUUUCUUCACUUAAAAUGAAGUAUGAUGUGACAUGACAGACAUGUUUUUAUUAUUUAUUUUUACUCUAAUGUUGACUAGAAGCAAUUUAAAGUUUCAAUGGUUAUGAUGUCAUAGUUGCGUUAGGCUAUACUCAUAGUUAGUAUGUAGGUCAGAUCAAACAAAAUUCAGUAAACCUAACAGAUUAUUGGAAACUUUGAUAUCUUACCCUGAGGCAUAUUUAUACAUAAUAAAUUGCUAACAUACAUGUAACAGUAGAAACCUCUGUUCUCCUAUAAAGAGCCUUUGAGACUCCUAUAGUGAGAUUUUUUAGUUCACAAAGAAACACAUUAAAAGAGACCUACGUUUAUCAAGAUCUAUGUUUAGAUUCAGGAUCUUUUUCAGACCAUUCGCGUUUUUCUUCUCCCUUUUUAUUAACUUAUUUUUAGGGGAUUACCGUAACAUAGCCCAUCAUCAACCCCGCGCACACGAUCCCCGAAAUGUAAAGGAAUGUCAAGAACCGUAAUAAUUUAAUAUUUGGAUUGAAACAUUUAAUAACUUAUGAAAUAUUUAUAGCCAUUUUUUGCUAAGGGCUGGCUUUCUUUUAGGGCUCAUUUUGAGAGCGCGCUACAAUGAAAUUGAUUACCCUUAGUAAAUAAUUAACGUAUAGCGUCAGAAAGAUUUUACACAAACAGAAAAACCUCUUCAAAAUUUGUUAUUGUUAACCUGACAUAUCUAACUUCAAGAAAUAACCAGGAAGGAGAUCUGGAAAUAAAAAAGAAAAGUUGUUUUUUCUAAAAAUACUAAAUUAGAGUUUUUAACUCUAAAUUUAAGUUUUUAAUUUUAAUACCUUUUUUAAUUGCGAUAGCGCGAUGUUUUGGUUUCGGCUCAGCCCUACGGCAUUCAAAAGUCACAUUAAUAAAGUUAUUUUAAGAUAACAAGUGCUAUCUUAAGAUAACUCUAUUAAUGUGAUUUCGGAAUGCGUGUAUAUUCACAUAAAUGUCUUGAUUGUAAGAUAACUCGAGUUAUUUUAAGAUAACAUAAAUGUGAUAAUUCUAUCUUUUCUAAUGCGCAUAUGUGUAAAUGAACGUUGCUUAGGGUGCGGAUACGUAAAGUAGCUCACAAAACAACAGCCUACAUGAAUUUCCGGCCGUAUUGACAUUUAUUUUGAUACGUCAUUUGUAUUGUCCUUGUGGUGUCGCGUAUGUGCUCUGCUGUAGAGUUCGCUCUGCGGUGGAGAACAAGAUGCAUUUUGUUAGUUUUGUGUUGUGAUGUAUUGUCCCGUGUUAAUUAUGUAAAGAGAAUAAUUGUAAUUUUGGUACUAUUUUUAGUUAAAUUUUCUGCACAUCUUGCACAUCUUUUUUCUGCGCAUUCAGUCUUCAACAUGUAAUGACAGAGUCGAACAUACAUUUUUGUAUUAAAUUUGCUGUUGAGUGAAAUUUUUCUUUCAUACAUCACAGGAGUUGUCCUGUAUCUCAGCAUCUGUUUUAGUUGUUUUCUCUCACAUGUAGUUGGCUUGGCUUACGCCACUAUAUAUCUAGUUAAAUCUUGGCAUUCAUUUUUUUGCUUUGCUAAAUUGUAUUUUUGGUAAUAUAGAACAGACAGCCAAUUACUGAUAUGAAAAAUCGUAAGAAUAAUAUUAAACGAAGAUCCAUACAAUGUAAAUUGGAGAAACUGAUUAGAUUACAACGAACGAGUGAAUGAUCAGUGAAAAACAAUCUAAGAAAUGUACGGAUGCUGAGUCGUUUACAACACAUGUAAAAAAGUGCGCCAAAUAUAACUUUUAAAAAAAUCUGCCGAAUUUAUGGAUACUGUGUCGUUGAUAGCAAGCACAAACUGUGUAUUUGCUUUCCCCUCUUGAAAAUUUUAGCGAAUGUGUGCAUGAGAGUUCUGUAACCAUGGAACCAAUAUACGUCUUAUGUGCCUUUAACAGAACACUGUGUGGUGAAAAUCAAUAUAAGAAUUGCGUCAAUGCUGUGGCGGUUUCACGCGCUGUUAGUAAAAGUAUGGAUGCUGUUUCUAACAAAACAUUAUAAUCAAUGCAAAAUGUUAUUUUUACAUUUGUUAAUGCUCGGGAACUGCAAUCUUUCUAAAAAGAGUAUGAAUGUCAUGUCAAGCAAAAAAGGUGUACUAAGCUAUGUUGUGGAAAUCAUUGCAGCAAAUAUAAGGUCGUGUUCCCAUAAGUUCUUAAAAAGAUGAUGGAUUUAGUGCAGCUCUGUCGGUAGAGCGUUUGAAUCAUCUCCUCUACUUGAGAUUAUAAGUUCAAUGUCCCCCCAUUGUCUAGUUAGUUUGUCAUUUCAUAAAGAUUUUUGUAGCAAUGGGAGCUAAACACUGGAAACCUGGUCCAUCCUGAAAUCCAUUGAGCACAGACCACAUUAAAUAUAAAUCACCAUCAGUGGUUUGAGGCAGAAUUGUAAGAGAAUUUACAUACUGGAUGGUUCUUUUGUUAUGAAAGUUUUUUUGCAGUAACUUUAAUGACUAAGGUGUCUUUUUAUGCCACUACCUGUACACAUGAUAGAGCUUAAAAGUACUGCCAAACUCUUUUUCCAUGUAUUG